rnacentral:lncRNA from 1 species
GCGAGGGCUGGGCCCGGAAACACGGGUAGUUCCAAGAGAUUUCGCGGUAGUGCCUGGAGAGGGGAGACCCUGCCUGGGACACAAGUCCCGUUGCAUACUGGCGUUCUGACCUCCAAACCAGCGAGAAGAGAAAGCAGAUACAAUAAAUAAACCAAGAGGGAAUAAACUUAGAGGCAAACGCGGCCCUCGGCAGUUCCUGGGGAAAGAUCAAAGGCCGUAGGAAGUGCCCCGCAGAGGAAAUCUGCAGUCACUAGCGACAGGACCGCGCCCGCCCCCUCCCCACCUUGCAACGCUGCCAGGACUCGGUGGGCGUCCUGGCUCUUCACAGUUAGCCUAUGUUUGGGAGCGCGGGAGGAAACAAUGUUGACUGAUAUAUUCUUCUCCCCUCCCCAGCCCCCCAAACACACACACACAGGAUUUCUACUCCUCUUUUAAGAAUGAAAUAUCCCCUGGCUGGAG